UACAAAACUAGCACUUGGGCUUCAUUUUGU
rnacentral:piRNA from 1 species